CACACACACACACACACUUGCUUAAGCAUUCAGAUUCAUACUUGUGCUCAUAACACACACUCAAUGACUCUGUCUUUUCCCAGUGGAUUAUCUGUUUCAUCUAUCUAUCUCCUCCCUGUCUCCUUCAAAAUAGGAGUCUCAUUUGCAGACUGAGGCUGUUGUUAGAGCGAUGCACAGAGUCACCUAGGACGAUUCAUUGUCUUCAACUAUCCAAGGAUGCCUGCAUCAUCAGCUGGCACAGUGCUGCCAACGUAGUAAAAGGGAAGUAACGCAAUAUGCAUUCAUUCACAGAGAUACUCUUGCAAACACAUGCAUACACACCUUGUAUAUGAUGUAGAACCAAGCCUGAAUUUCGGAGGGUUCAUUUUAUUAGCUGAUACUUGUUAAUCAAAGAUAUAUCUAUCUAUCAUUGUAGGUGGUUAUGUAAUAUUGGUAUACCUUCUCAGACAAACUUAGGAGGACAUCUCACCGUCCACUUAACCUUUGACAUUCCUCUUUGGUCUCGGUCAUAGCAACCCAGUCUCUACUGGAAACAAUCACUGUUUCCAUGGGCCAAAAGAUUUACAAGAGCCAGGGGCACAAGGCUCUCAGAGCAGCCGUCCCUCUCAGUUCCUCUCAGUGACUUGAGAAUCACAAAAGAGGCCAGUGAGCUCUGUCCAGCUGACUCCAGGGUAAACUUCCCUGAGCGCUGAUCUGCAGCGCGCCUUCACUGUAUGACACCAGUACGCUAGUGAGUGCUAGAUUGCCUGUGUGCAUUUGUGGACCUAUAUGUGUGUAAUUACUGGCUAUUCAUAUAUACCCUCCCCAUAACUGACCCUGUCCUGUCUUGCCUCACACCCAUCACCCUUUGCCUCCAGACAAACCCUAUGUAGGUCAAUCCAUGUGUUAACACAGCCGCCCAACACAAGGAUUACACUGCUACCCCCAAGAUGGCCAUUUUAGCAGAUUAAUAUCUGUAGAAUAAUUAUCAUAACUGUGUUUUCUAUCCGGUUAUUAUCACCUUAUUAAUGCAGGUGUUGAUGGUGCGGUCUCCAGAAGGUUCUUUAAAUGCGCUAAGUUUCUCCACAUCUACCACAAAUGAUGAGAAUGCGGGUUAAUACACCUUUCUGCUGAUUCAUGCUUGCCUCUAGUCUUCAUCUGCCACUGCAAUUUCAAUUACCACAAAAGACAUAAAGACAUCUUUACACAAAGACGUAAAUUGUUUCAUCAUUUUCACUUUCCCCGCAUCGCCAAAAAUGACCUCAUUCUCCUUCUCUAUGAUGUUCCAGCUGGUGGGGUGUCUGUGCUUUGCCACGCAGCUUUGGAUGAUAUAAUUACAUGGCCGUCCGCGGCUCGUCAAAACCCUUCAGCACCGACCGUGCAGUGAUCUGAGCACCUUCUGACAUAAUCUAACAGCCACACGGCCGUGCCUGCUUCAUCUCAGUCGCUCUCCUUUCACAGCCUUCUGUUACUGAUCAUUAGUAUUAAGGAUAAUAUAGGAAGGCAAUGGAAGAGGGGGAGUGAUGCAACAGCACUUAACAUGACUGCAAAGUUUAAAAAUGAGAAAAUUGAUUUUGUGUGACGUUGAAAGUCUGAGAAAAGGGAAGAAGGGAUAAGGAAAAUAAAUUAGUCUCAAUUGAGUUUA